rnacentral:rRNA from 1 species
UCGGGAAUUUUGGGCAAUGGGCGAAAGCCUGACCCAGCAACGCCGCGUGAAGGAUGAAGUAUUUCGGGAUGUAAACUUCGUAAGAAUAGGAAGAAUAAAUGACGGUACUAUUUGUAAGGUCCGGCUAACUACGUGCCAGCAGCCGCGGUAAUACGUAGGGACCAAGCGUUGUUCGGAUUUACUGGGCGUAAAGGGCGCGUAGGCGGCGUGGUAAGUCACUUGUGAAAUCUCCGAGCUUAACUCGGAACGGUCAAGUGAUACUGCUGUGCUAGAGUACAGAAGGGGCAAUCGGAAUUCUUGGUGUAGCGGUGAAAUGCGUAGAUAUCAAGAGGAACACCUGAGGUGAAGACGGGUUGCUGGGCUGAUACUGACGCUGAGGCGCGAAAGCUAGGGUAGCAAACGGGAUUAGAUACCCCUGUAGUCCCUGAGCGGGCUGGCAAGGCGCAU